AUUGAACGCUGGCGGCAGGCCUAACACAUGCAAGUCGAGCGGAUGAAGGGAGCUUGCUCCUGGCUUCAGCGGCGGACGGGUGAGUAAUGCCUAGGAAUCUGCCUGGUAGUGGGGGAUAACGUCCGGAAACGGGCGCUAAUACCGCAUACGUCCUGUGGGAGAAAGUGGGGGAUCUUCGGACCUCACGCUAUCAGAUGAGCCUAGGUCGGAUUAGCUAGUUGGUGGGGUAAAGGCCUACCAAGGCGACGAUCCGUAACUGGUCUGAGAGGAUGAUCAGUCACACUGGAACUGAGACACGGUCCAGACUCCUACGGGAGGCAGCAGUGGGGAAUAUUGGACGAUGGGCGGAAUCCUGAUCCAGCCAUGCCGCGUGGGUGAAGAAGGUCUUCGGAUUGUAUAGCACUUUUAGUUGGGAGGAAGGGCAGUAAGUGAAUACCUUGCUGUUUUGACGUUACCAACAGAAUAAGCACCGGCUAACUACGUG
rnacentral:rRNA from 1 species